GACGUUGCGUAUAGAAACCUGCAAAUGCUUGAAAAAAAACAGAAUGAAAAUCGACGUAAUUUUAAUAAGAAGAGAAAAGAAGCAAGGGAAUAUAGAGAAGGAGAUUUAGUAGCUGUUAAACAAAUGCAGCAAGGACUAGGACUAAAGCUAGCGAAUAAAAGUUUCUUGGACCGUAUAGAGUAAUAAAAAUAAUGCGAAAUGACCGAUGAACUUGUUGAGAAAGUCGGUGAACAUGAGGGAUCAUUGCAAACGUCCACAGCGUCGGAUUUUAUGAAAUUGUGGAUGCCUGAUGUGAGUGAUGUGAUGCUUCAAGCAAUGAUUUAACUGACGAUUUGGGUGACAUUCGGGGGCGAAUGUCCGUUUAAAAUGACCGAAUGUAGGAAG